GAAAGAUGCUAAACUGUUUUUGCGAUGUGUUCCUAAUAUGCACUAUGAAUAUAUUGGGAACAUCUUGCAUGCAUAGUUUUGUAUCAAUAUA
ensembl:miRNA MIR450A1 microRNA 450a-1